ACACCCUCAAGCUCUGCUUGGUGUUGAGCGUCUGUCCUUGCCUUGUGCAAAGACUCGCUCUAAAUGUAUUGGCAGCGGCAUCGCCAGCUUCUUGCGCAGCACAUUGCGCUCUAAGAUUUUGGUGAGCUUGCAUCCAUUAAGAACCCCCCAA
rnacentral:misc_RNA from 1 species